AUACAUGCAGUCGAACGAACUUCCGUUAAUUGAUCAUGGACGUGCUUGCACUGAAUGAGAUUUUAACACGAAGUGAGUGGCGGACGGGUGAGUAACACGUGGGUAACCUGCCCAGAAGCAGGGGAUAACACCUGGAAACAGAUGCUAAUACCGUAUAACAGAGAAAACCGCCUGGUUUUCUUUUAAAAGAUGGCUCUGCUAUCACUUCUGGAUGGACCCGCGGCGCAUUAGCUAGUUGGUGAGGUAACGGCUCACCAAGGCGAUGAUGCGUAGCCGACCUGAGAGGGUAAUCGGCCACAUUGGGACUGAGACACGGCCCAGACUCCUACGGGAGGCAGCAGUAGGGAAUCUUCCACAAUGGACGCAAGUCUGAUGGAGCAACGCCGCGUGAGUGAAGAAGGGUUUCGGCUCGUAAAGCUCUGUUGUUAAAGAAGAACGUGGGUGAGAGUAACUGUUCACCCAGUGACGGUAUUUAACCAGAAAGCCACGGCUAACUACGUGCCAGCAGCCGCGGUAAUACGUAGGUGGCAAGCGUUAUCCGGAUUUAUUGGGCGUAAAGCGAGCGCAGGCGGUCUUUUAAGUCUAAUGUGAAAGCCUUCGGCUCAACCGAAGAAGUGCAUUGGAAACUGGGAGACUUGAGUGCAGAAGAGGACAGUGGAACUCCAUGUGUAGCGGUGAAAUGCGUAGAUAUAUGGAAGAACACCAGUGGCGAAGGCGGCUGUCUGGUCUGUAACUGACGCUGAGGCUCGAAAGCAUGGGUAGCGAACAGGAUUAGAUACCCUGGUAGUCCAUGCCGUAAACGAUGAUUACUAAGUGUUGGAGGGUUUCCGCUCUUCAGUGCUGCAGCUAACGCAUUAAGUAAUCCGCCUGGGGAGUACGACCGCAAGGUUGAAACUCAAAAGAAUUGACGGGGCUCGCACAGCGGUGGAGC
rnacentral:rRNA from 1 species